rnacentral:lncRNA from 1 species
UGAGGAUAAAUACAAGUAAAGAAACAGAUCCCCAGCCAAAACUACUUUAAUCUAUAAAAGACUUUCAUUUUCAUUUAUAAAUAGCUUUUUUUUCGAAGAUAAAACCAAAACCUUCAGCCAUAACAUGCCAAUCCAAUCUAUAGGUAUAGUAUUAUCCCAAACAAAGGCAAUUACUUGCCAUAUUAUCAAGUGAAAAUAGAAUUAGAUACUUUUCUAUCUGAUUGUUGCUUUCGAUCGCAAGUUAAAAAUGCAGUCAGAAAUAUCAAAGGUGCAUUCUAUUGUUGCUAGCUUCCUUUUACGAUGAUUUAGAUGGUGUUUUGUGCUUCUACAUGAUCCAUUUAUGAGCUCAUAUUAAAAGUGAAGAGAAACACAUUGUUUUAUCGCCCAUAUCUGCUGGAGGAAGUGCGGUUCAUUUAGUCAGUUCAUCUUAUUGCUAUCAAGUUGGGAGAUCCCAAGGCUAUAUAAGACCCACAUCAGUUCCUCAUUAAACCGAUGUGGAACUCAAGUCCCAUUCCUUGCAAUAAUAUCAUAACAAACCACCACGCUCCGCAUCGUCAUCCUCAACAGCUGUGAGCUAGACAUUGCUAGCCCCGGCCAAACAAUGCCAUACCGGCGUCACCAUCCAAGGCACAGUGGGCAUGGAGAAUGAUGGGUGGUUCUGAUACCAUUGAUACAACCUUAGUAGAACCACACCCUAAAAACUGGCUAUCAAGGUGGGAGAACCCAAGGCUAUAUAAGCCCCACUAAAGUUCCACAUGUAACCAAUGUGGGACACACAACAUAUGGUUCAACUCUUAAGUCCCAUUCCUUGCAAUAAUAUCAUAACAUUAACUCUAUCAUUAGAGUCAACCCCAACAACUAGUGGGGUUCUGAAACACAUAGGAAAGGAACUUCAAGGUUGCAUUGGUUUAUCACUUAUUUUUCAUAAAGAAGAAAGAUCCCUGUUUUAAUCAUUACACAUUUUCUUUUGAGGCCUCCAGUUAGUUGUGUGGAAUUUGCAUUAAUCCGUUUUUGUCCUUUCUAUUAGUUGGUCUUAUUUAUACGUGGAUAUUUUUCAUGGUAUUUUUCAACAUUAAAUAUUUAUAUCAACCAACGAGUGAUAUAUACACCAUUGGCAUCCAUUCAUAUCCAGACACAAGUCUUCCAUCAAUUUCCUGAUAUAAAUUCUUACCUUAAUUUUUCUUAUAUUUUGGCUGUUUUGUUUUAAUCACCAAUUAGAUUAAUGUCACUGAUUCAUUAUGCGCAGCUGUUAAAACACCAAGAACGAAGGAUGAAAAGAAGAAAUCAAAGCCAAGAGGUGAACAACAUCAAAGGUAAUUUGGUAGAUGAUCAAGUAAUGGUAUAAUUUGAUUUCUUCAUGAAUGGAUAGAUUCAACAUCCGUGCUAGCGUUACUGAUUAGCCUUGUACAUUCCAAAAGAAGAAAAGAGUCACUCUAACAGCAGGGCAAGAAAUCUUUUGAGGUUUUAUUUAUGGGAUCACAUGAUCCUGCACCAUUGUCUAUUUAAUCUUAAGAAGACGAGCAAGCUCAAUAAGGUUGAAGAAGGCUUCGGCCUUUUCCUAUGCGAUCCAUUCAUCUAUGAAUUUGUUAGGGGUAAAAACUUAGUUUUGUUCUGCUAUAUGUAAACUUGAUUUCUUUGCCCAACUUAUAUGAUGAAACUAUUUUUUUUUCUCUAUUUAGAGGAAUGAUUCCAACCACCAUUCACGUACUAUUCCUCAUCAGUCGUCAUGAGGAAGAGCAAUUGAGAAUUCUCAUUCCAGAAAUACACUGACAAGAACUUAGAGUUUGUUUCUUCAAAAUGCAGAUUUCAGCUUCCCUUGUAUCAAUGAGUUUCAGUUUUAACUUUGUUAUCUAGGUGUGUUUGGUAUGAUGGAAAAAUGUACCUGUUUAGUUGGAGAGAGAACUUUUAACCAUUUACUAAGGAUUUUAAAUAAUAUUAGCAACUGGAUUCAUAAAAACAACAUAGCAAACCAAAUAUUGUUUGAUGGAA